UGGGGAAUAUUGCACAAUGGGGGAAACCCUGAUGCAGCGACGCCGCGUGAACGAAGAAGGUAUUCGUAUCGUAAAGUUCUGUCCUAUGGGAAGAUAAUGACAGUACCAUAGAAGAAAGCUCCGGCUAAAUACGUGCCAGCAGCCGCGGUAAUACGUAUGGAGCGAGCGUUGUCCGGAAUUAUUGGGCGUAAAGGGUACGCAGGCGGUUUAAUAAGUCGAAUGUUAAAGAUCGGAGCUCAACCCCGCAAAGCAUUGGAAACUGAUAAACUUGAGUAGUGGAGAGGAAAGUGGAAUUCCUAGUGUAGUGGUGAAAUACGUAGAUAUUAGGAGGAAUACCAGUAGCGAAGGCGACUUUCUGGACACAAACUGACGCUGAGGUACGAAAGCGUGGGGAGCAAACAGGA
rnacentral:rRNA from 1 species